rnacentral:rRNA from 1 species
GACGAACGCUGGCGGCGUGCUUAACACAUGCAAGUCGAACGGAAAGGCCCUGCUUUUGUGGGGUGCUCGAGUGGCGAACGGGUGAGUAACACGUGAGUAACCUGCCCUUGACUUUGGGAUAACUUCAGGAAACUGGGGCUAAUACCGGAUAGGAGCUCCUGCUGCAUGGUGGGGGUUGGAAAGUUUCGGCGGUUGGGGAUGGACUCGCGGCUUAUCAGCUUGUUGGUGGGGUAGUGGCUUACCAAGGCUUUGACGGGUAGCCGGCCUGAGAGGGUGACCGGCCACAUUGGGACUGAGAUACGGCCCAGACUCCUACGGGAGGCAGCAGUGGGGAAUAUUGCACAAUGGGCGGAAGCCUGAUGCAGCAACGCCGCGUGCGGGAUGACGGCCUUCGGGUUGCAAACCGCUUUCGCCUGUGACGAAGCGUGAGUGACGGUAAUGGGUAAAGAAGCACCGGCUAACUACGUGCCAGCAGCCGCGGUGAUACGUAGGGUGCGAGCGUUGUCCGGAUUUAUUGGGCGUAAAGGGCUCGUAGGUGGUUGAUCGCGUCGGAAGUGUAAUCUUGGGGCUUAACCCUGAGCGUGCUUUCGAUACGGGUUGACUUGAGGAAGGUAGGGGAGAAUGGAAUUCCUGGUGGAGCGGUGGAAUGCGCAGAUAUCAGGAGGAACACCAGUGGCGAAGGCGGUUCUCUGGGCCUUUCCUGACGCUGAGGAGCGAAAGCGUGGGGAGCGAACAGGCUUAGAUACCCUGGUAGUCCACGCUGUAAACGGUGGGUACUAGGUGUGGGGUCCAUUCCACGGGUUCCGUGCCGUAGCUAACGCUUUAAGUACCCCGCCUGGGGAGUACGGCCGCAAGGCUAAAACUCAAAGGAAUUGACGGGGCCCCGCACAAGCGGCGGAGCAUGCGGAUUAAUUCGAUGCAACGCGUAGAACCUUACCUGGGUUUGACAUGGAUCGGGAGUGCUCAGAGAUGGGUGUGCCUCUUUUGGGGUCGGUUCACAGGUGGUGCAUGGCUGUCGUCAGCUCGUGUCGUGAGAUGUUGGGUUAAGUCCCGCAACGAGCGCAACCCUUGUUCACUGUUGCCAGCACGUUAUGGUGGGGACUCAGUGGAGACCGCCGGGGUCAACUCGGAGGAAGGUGGGGAUGACGUCAAGUCAUCAUGCCCCUUAUGUCCAGGGCUUCACGCAUGCUACAAUGGCUGGUACAGAGAGUGGCGAGCCUGUGAGGGUGAGCGAAUCUCGGAAAGCCGGUCUCAGUUCGGAUUGGGGUCUGCAACUCGACCUCAUGAAGUCGGAGUCGCUAGCAAUCGCAGAUCAGCAACGCUGCGGUGAAUACGUUCCCGGG